ensembl:lncRNA
AUUAGUCGCUCAGUCAUGCCUGACUCUUUGCAACCCCAUGAAUUGUAGCCUCCCAGGCUCCUCUGUCCAUGGGAUUCUCCAGGCAAGAAUACUGAAGUGGGUUUUCGUUCCCUUCUCUAGGAGAUAUUCCUGACCUAGGGAUCAAACCUGGGUCUCCUGCAUUGCAGUUGGAUUUUUUACCAUCUGAGCUACCAGACAGAAGAAAGGAGGCUAAGAGGUGAACUGUAACCACGCUGAAGGCAAGUUCAGUAGCUGCUCAGACGGAAGAAAUGCACUGCUGUGUGUCUCCUGCAGCCCUGGCUGGAACGCGUGCAGGAGGAACGACAGCGCACGCCCACGCCUGGCCGUGUUGUCAGACACAUCCCGACCUGAGUGGUCAAAUGAACGACCGAAUGACCGACCGGACAGAAUAAUACUA